GACAGUAGUAGGCAUCUUAGGAUCGCGACAUCCUGUCGCAACAGCUCUACAUAACCCACGUCCUGUGGG
rnacentral:sRNA from 1 species